AUUGAACGCUGGCGGCAGGCCUAACACAUGCAAGUCGAGCGAGCGGCGGACGGGUGAGUAGUGCCUGGGAAUUGCCCAGUCGAGGGGUAUAACAGUUGGAAACGACUGCUAAUACCGCAUACGUUUGGCUUACCCAGUUGGGAUUAGCUUGUGGGUGCGGUAAUGGCUCACCAAGGCGACGAUCCCUAGCUGGUCUGAGAGGAUGAUCAGCCACACUGGAACUGAGACACGGUCCAGACUCCUACGGGAGGCAGCAGUGGGGAAUAUUGCACAAUGGGCGCAACCCUGAUGCAGCCAUGCCGCGUGUGUGAAGAAGGCCUUCGGGUUGUAAAGCACUUUCAGCGAGGAGGCGUUACUCGCAGAAGAAGCACCGGCUAACUCCGUGCCAGCAGCCGCGGUAAUAC
rnacentral:rRNA from 1 species